UACGGAGGGUGCAAGCGUUAAUCGGAAUUACUGGGCGUAAAGCGUGCGUAGGCGGUUGCCUCAGUCAGAUGUGAAAGCCCUGGGCUUAACCUGGGAACUGCAUUUGAUACUGGGCGACUAGAGUUGAGUAGAGGAGAGUGGAAUUUCAGGUGUAGCGGUGAAAUGCGUAGAGAUCUGAAGGAACACCAGUGGCGAAGGCGGCUCUCUGGACUCAAACUGACGCUGAGGUACGAAAGCGUGGGUAGCAAACAGG
rnacentral:rRNA from 1 species